ensembl:lncRNA
GCUGUUUGGAAAAUCCCAGCAGCAGAUCAGCAGCUUACGAAAUACUCUGACCAGCCCAUCUGACACCAACAGCCACAUGUUCCUCAAGCACCUUUCUUCCUCAUUUUCAUGCUAAGUCCAAACGUUAGCAGCUCUUCUUGACCAUGUCUUCAUGCUUAGAUGCGUCUUGUGAUUGUGAAACAGUUGAACAGGUGUACCUAAUAAAGUGGCUGGCUCUCAGACUUUGUUUUAGGACAACACAUUGAUGUCAUCAGUGAGCUCAUCUAACUCAGAAAAACAAAGUCAUGGUAUGAUGGCUGCUGUAGCUAAGAGCGAAUUGAACCGAGUCACUCCUCCUUGUGUGGGACAGAUGCCCAAACACUGUGGCAGCCUUGUUGAAAGGGACCUUUGUAGCUGUCAGGAGCGGUGGAGGGGGCUGAAGAAGCACAUGCAGCGCUGCGAAAACACUCACAUGAACAUGUUCAGACACUGACAAUGUGCUUCAUUUACAUGUCAGGAUACAACUUAUUUAUCAAUUUGCUGUUCUGGAGCUUUCAGUGACAUCAUGUAAUCUUCAGCUGCCGAUUGAGCGCGCCCAGAUGUGAACCAGAAAUCCCUGAGCUCCUUUAGGAAAAAAUGGAUGUUAAGAAAGCUGCAUUUCCACGACAACUCGGGCCAACUCUGUCUGCUGA